UCUGAGGGAUCCCGAGAGUCUCUGAGGGAGUCCCCCGGGUGCUCGGAGGUCUCUGAGGGAUCCCGGGGAUGCUCGGGGGGUCUCUGAGGUGUUCUGGAUGUGUCUCGGGGGUCUCUGAGGUUUUCCGGGGGUGUCCCGGGGUUCCGUCUCCCCGCAGUUCGCCGCUACCCCCAUCGAUGUAUCCCUAGCGGGGUUCCAGGGCGGGCCGGUCCCGCGGUUCCCGUGCGAGGCCAUGGCCGGCACCAGCACCACCCGCAGCCCGAGCCCGGAGCGGGGCCCCGGCACUCCCUCGGCCGAGCAGGCGCUGCUGCGGGCCGGGCAGGCGCUGUGCGAGCGGCCCGGGGCGCUGCGGGAGCUGGGCGCGCUGCUGGAGGCGGCGGAUCCCGCGGCUCUGGCCCGGCUGGCGGCGGCGCUGGGCGGGCUGGCGGCUCCGCCACGCCGGGAGCAGGACGGGGCCGAGCCGCCCGGCCGGGACACGGCGUUAGCGGCCGUGGCGGAGCGGGCAGAGCGCGUUGGCGCCGCGUUCCUGCUGCUCCUGCAGAAGCUGGAAGAUGCCCGGAGCCAGGAGUCGCCGAUGAAGCCCAUCCCGAAACGGGUGCUGGGACACGCGUUCAUCUUUGCUGUCACGCACAAAGAGGAGAGGCCCUGGACCACGGCGAGGAGUCGGGCGGUGGCUCAGGAGGUGCUGGAGCGGCUGCUCCGGACUGCGGGCUCCGGGUCCGUGGAGGAAUUCCUGCAGGGAAAGGAGGGGGAUGAGGAAGGAAGAUUCGGAGAGGUGAUGGGCAUCCUGAAGCAGGAGUUAACCAAAGACACCUGGAAGCGUAACCCGGCCUCCAAGGACGUGUUCUCCUGGUCCCUGCUCCGUGUCAGCCGGCCCUGGCUGUGCCCGCACCUGGAGCGGGUCCUGCCGCCCGCGCUGCUCCUCUCCGACGACUUCCAGGAGGAGAACAAAGUGCUGGGCGUGCGCUGCCUGCACCACAUCGUCCUCAACGUGCCAGGAGCGGAUCUGUGCCAGUUCAACAGGGCCCAGGUGGUUUUCCACGCCCUCUACAACCACCUCUACUCACGGGAGGCUCCUCUCAUCCAGGCGGUGCUGCUGUGCCUGCUGGACCUGCUGCCCGUGCUGGAGCGGUGCCAGCGGCGCCAGGGCCAGGCCAGGGCCAGCUCCCCCUGGGACCAGGUGCUGCAGCUGCUGCUGGCACACAUGGAGGCCGAGCACCGGCUGGCGCUGCGCAGGGUGUACGCGGGGACACUGCCUGCCUUUGUCACCAGACUCGGCAUCCUCAUCGUGAGGCACCUGAAGAGGCUGGAACGAGUCAUCCUGGGCUACCUGGAGGUGUCUGAUGGCCCUGGGGAGGAGGCCAGGCUGGCAAUCCUGCAAACCCUGCAGUGCACCAUAGAGCACGCCUGGCCCAGGAUGCCCUGCAGGCUCCCUGUGCUGCUCAAGGCCCUGCUGAGGCUGCUCUGGGACGUUCACAGCGAGCGGGGCCCGACCCCCGAGCCCGUCAGGGCUGCCCUGCUGCAGGAGGCCACGCAGUGCCUGAUCCUGCUGGAUCGCUGCUGCCAGGGCCAGGUCAAGGUGCUGCUGGCUGGGCUGCAGAGCAGCUGUGAGGAGAACAGGCUGCAGGAGUGCUUCAGGAAGGUGCAGGAGAGCUCCUGACACUGCUCAGCCCCUUUUGUACAAUAAAAUUGUUGUGUUUAUUUAAAGUUCUGUCGUUCUUGUCCCAUGCCCACCUUCCUGAGGGGGUGAGAGCACAGGGAAGGGCCCUGGGUUUGGUAUCCAAGGGUUGGCUUGGGCACUGUGCCAGGGCACUGCCAGUGCUGCUCUGCUCCCUGCAGGAGAGCACCUGAGGUGCCUGAGAGCACCUGACACUGCUCAGCCCCUUUUGUACAAUAAAAAUGUUGUGUUUAUUUAAAGUUCUGUCGUUCUUGUCCCACCUGUGCACCC